UACGGAGGAUGCGAGCGUUAUCCGGAUUUAUUGGGUUUAAAGGGUGCGCAGGCGGCACGGCAAGCCGGCGGUCAAAUCGCGGGGCUCAACCCCGCCCAGCCGUCGGAACUGCCGGGCUAGAGUGGGCGAGAAGUGCGCGGAAUGCGUGGUGUAGCGGUGAAAUGCAUAGAUAUCACGCAGAACUCCGAUUGCGAAGGCAGCAUGCCGGCUUCCGACUGACGCUGAAGCACGAAAGCGUGGGGAUCGAACAGG
rnacentral:rRNA from 1 species